AUAAGAUCCGUAGUCGAAAGGGAAACAGCCCAGACCACCAGUUAAGGUCCCCAAAUAUAUGUUAAGUGGAAAAGGAUGUGGGGUUGCUUAGACAACCAGGAUGUUGGCUUAGAAGCAGCCACCAUUGAAAGAGUGCGUAAUAGCUCACUGGUCGAGUGACCCCGCGCCGAAAAUGUACCGGGGCUAAACAUAUUACCGAAACUGUGGAUGAACCUCUUUAGAGGUUCGUGGUAGGAGAGCGUUCUAAGGGCGGUGAAGUCAGACCGGAAGGACUGGUGGAGCGCUUAGAAGUGAGAAUGCCGGUAUGAGUAGCGAAAGAAGGGUGAGAAUCCCUUCCACCGAAUAUCUAAGGUUUCCUGAGGAAGGCUCGUCCGCUCAGGGUUAGUCGGGACCUAAGCCGAGGCCGAUAGGCGUAGGCGAUGGACAACAGGUAGAGAUUCCUGUACCAGUGCUAAUUGUUUAACCGAUGGGGUGACACAGAAGGAUAGGGAAUCGCACGAAUGGAAAUGUGCGUCCAAGCAGUGAGUGUGAGAAGUAGGCAAAUCCGCUUCUCGCGAAGCAUGAGCUGUGAUGGGGAAGGAAAUUAAGUACGGAAGUUCCUGAUUUCACGCUGUCAAGAAAAGCCUCUAGGAAGAGUAGUACUGCCCGUACCGCAAACCGACACAGGUAGAUGAGGAGAGAAUCCUAAGGUGAGCGAGAGAACUCUCGUUAAGGAACUCGGCAAAAUGACCCCGUAACUUCGGGAGAAGGGGUGCUCUAUUAGGGUGCAAGCCCGAGAGAGCCGCAGUGAAUAGGCCCAGGCGACUGUUUAGCAAAAACACAGGUCUCUGCAAAACCGUAAGGUGACGUAUAGGGGCUGACGCCUGCCCGGUGCUGGAAGGUUAAGAGGAGUGCUUAGCUUCGGCGAAGGUACGAAUUGAAGCCCCAGUAAACGGCGGCCGUAACUAUAACGGUCCUAAGGUAGCGAAAUUCCUUGUCGGGUAAGUUCCGACCCGCACGAAAGGCGCAACGAUCUGGGCACUGUCUCAACGAGAGACUCGGUGAAAUUAUAGUACCUGUGAAGAUGCAGGUUACCCGCGACAGGACGGAAAGACCCCGUGGAGCUUUACUGCAACCUGAUAUGGAAUGUUUGUACCGCUUGUACAGGAUAGGUAGGAGCCGAAGAGACGUGUGCGCUAGCAUACGAGGAGGCAAUGGUGGGAUACUACCCUGGCUGUAUGACCAUUCUAACCCGCCACGCUUAGCGCGUGGGGAGACAGUGUCAGGUGGGCAGUUUGACUGGGGCGGUCGCCUCCUAAAGAGUAACGGAGGCGCCCAAAGGUUCCCUCAGAAUGGAUGGAAAUCAUUCGCAGAGUGUAAAGGCACAAG
rnacentral:rRNA from 1 species